UCUCUGCGCCUCUCCCUCUCUGCUCGAUCUAUCUCUCUACGCCUCCCUCUCUGCACCUCUCCCGCUCUGCUUGAUCUACCUCUCAGCCUCUCCCUCUCCACUCGAUCUCUCUCCCUCUUCACUCUUGAACCCUCCCCUCUCCCUCUCCUCUUGAUCUACCUCUCCCUCUCCCUCUCUCUCCCUCUUUUAUUUCUUCUUUUCUUUUGUCCAGCAGAUUAAGGAUCAUUAUGCAAUAUCAGGACACAACAGAGUAUCAAAAGUCAUUGGCACGCAAGAUGGAGGCUGGCUUGAAAGUGAAAUGUGAUAAGUUAGGUGAUGCCUUUGUAAUGGAUGAAAUGUGAUAAGUGAAAUUUCCAUUUUGUGGAUGUUUUAUAUACCAUGUUUGUUGGCUCUAGAACUUCAUGAGCUAAAGUUUGCUGAUAUUUGUUGUGAUGAAAGUCCAUGGUAAAUAGACCAUCCUGAUGUGAUAAUAACUGAUCCUGAGUUCAAACUGUCUCAAUCCCACAUAACAAUAAUUAACUUUCAUAACUUGCAGUAGCUUCAAGAUGAUCUGCAAAAGUUGGGAUUGAAGAUCAAGCAUCAUGAGGACAACCUGAAAUUUCUAAAGACUCAAACAAACAACUUAGGAUGAAUCCAUUUUUGAUAUGCAAGCUGAUAGAGAGCAUGGCCUGCAACCUUUCAUGUAAAGCUGCACCUUCCAACUUGUACAUGCACUUGGACUCUCUCAUCUAUUCUUUGAAUAUUUGGUAUUGCUUGUCUUCUCAAUUGGGUCUCAUUUUGAACUUCUACAUGCACUUGGAUACUCUCAUAUCUGGCUUUUUGGAAAUUGGGUAUUGUUGGUAUUCUCAAUUGGGUCUUGCAUUUUGAAUGUCUACAUGCACUUGAACUCUCCCAUAUAUGGUUUUUCGGGUAUUGCUGGUUUUCUCAACUGGUUUUUCGAGUGUUUUUCUUGUUCAUUCUGGUUUUGAAGAAGUUGUGGUUUGUUUAAUUAUAGUUAAUGUGUUUAUGGUGUUGGAAAGAAUGUAUGAUCUGGAGCAAGGCAUCAUGUAUCCAAACAUCUGGAUUGAUGGCAAGAGAAUUGAAUGAGGUGCUGAAGAUGAGAUGAUCCAUCAAGUGGACAAGAUAUUGAACCUUGUUGAUGUUCAAUGUCAUAUAUGAGAUGAUUUCAACAAGAACAAUCCUCAAUGAUUCGAAGAAAGAUUUCAAUAGACCUUCAAUGAAUGCUUCUACAGAAGCAAUUUGUGAGAAUUUUAGUAUACCAGUAGAAUGGGAUCUUUUUAUUAAAAUUUUGACCAACCGGAGAAAAAAUGUCUCAAAUUAUUUGGCUAAAUGGUAAGUGAUCAUCCUUAUGUUAAUCACAGUGAAUUUAUCUGUGCUUUAUUCUUUCUGAUGCUAUUGCUAAAUUAAGUUCUGUUUGACAAAAUGUUGUAGCCAUUAGUUAGUUGAUUCUCAGAAUCAUGGAAUAUGCGACUUUGCAAGUGCCUACUUAUUUUCUCCGUCAAAACUUUCUUCUUGUGAAUUGGUAGGAUGGACCUCCAUUUUCUUUGAAAGCAUUCCUCAACAGCAAAAUGAUGAUGGUGUUUGAACUUACUGCCAACAGGCGGUUCCAGGUUGUUCCAUUCUCCCGGUCUCCUUAGGCUAUAUACAUGGUUUGUGGUGUAAGCUUCUGUCAUGGGAGAAUAGUUCUCGAAGGCCUGCAAUGUGUAAAGGCUAAGAUGGCUAGGCCAUGUAUGUGUUCAUUUCUUCUUAUCAUUUGGUCAGGUGUGCCUUGUCCUUCUUAACUGGCCAAAUGAUGUAUUUGGUAAUGUUGUUUAAGUUAGCUCGUUGUUGUUGUUGAUGACGAUGAUGAUGAUGAUGCUUGUGUUUCAUGUUAUCCUAUAUUAGACAUAUUUCAUUCCUGCAUGCUGUUUCAUGCUAUCCUAUAUACUGACAAUUUUCUUUUACUCCACAGACUUCUGCCCAUGUCUGUUUGAUAACAGAUUUUUGCCCAAGUGGGGAGCUAUUUGCUUUGCUUGACAAACAGCCUAUGAAGAUUUUCAAAGAGGAAGCUGCAAGGUAUCUUCAAUGAGUAAUUCAAUAAUUCCCUCAAUUUUGAGACUUCGACCAAGAAUGGUUCUUCACGGUUGCCAUGCCAAUUUUUUUAAAAUUUUUUUUUUCAGUUGAUAAUUGGAUAUUUCAAGGUUGUUCUUGC